CAACCCUCAAGCUCUGCUUGGUAUUGGGCUCUGCCAGCGAUGGCCGGCCUUAAAAUCAGUGGCGGUGCCGUCUGGCUCCAAGCGUAGUACAUCUCUCGCUCUGGAGGCCUGGUGGUGUCUUGCCAGAUAACCCCCAUUAUCUUCUAU
rnacentral:misc_RNA from 2 species